rnacentral:tRNA from 1 species
GGGCGCAUAGCUCAGUUGGUUAGAGCGUCUCGCUUACACCGAGAAGGUCAGGGGUUCGAGUCCCUUUGCGCCCA